rnacentral:antisense_RNA from 1 species
GAGCUCUGUGGGCCCCAGGAGCCCCGGGAAAACCUGGGGGAGAAUGGGCAUCCCACCCCAGCACUUUCUAGGAAGAAGGGCAACAUUUUGAAGGGCUGGAAGUAGAGAAAGAAGGUUGCGGGUAGAAGACUCCAUACUUUCUGUGACGCCUAUUCCUUAGGUAGGAACUUAGGAACCUCAGGAAUCAAGCCUAUCUGUAAUCACAGGGCUAUUUGAAAAAGAGAAGAAAAGGUGUCUUGAAAUUAAACCAACAUGUUUCAAUUAUUUGCUCCUAAGAACAACAGAAGUUUCAACAUUCUGCCAACACAGUAACUCCUGGGAGAUUGGCACAGAAGAAGGCACAAGGAGAGCUUUUAUAUAACCAAAGAUAUUUUUGGACCAUGAAUUCGGAAAUUCUCGGAGCCACCCAUCAAUGCCUGAGCUUCAGUGAGUCCAUAUCCCAUGUCACCUACGGCAAAGGAGAAUCUGAGACUUCUGAAGAGUUUCUUGCUUCUUUCCUGUGGGGCAGUGACUCCACUUCCCAGCAGUAAUGGAAUAUCCUGAAUUAGCUACAUUAAUGUUAGAACCAUUUGGACCUCACCCAGGACUUCAACUACAUUGUGCUAAAGUUACAGAAUCCAAAUUUGGCAACUGCCUGCAUCUGAACAACAGAAGUUUCAACAUUCUGCCAACAGAGUAACUCCUGGACGACUGGCACAGAAGAAGGCACAAGGCAAAUACCCAUCUCUGUACACCCUGUGCUACUGUGUCAUGUGCUGCUCC